GGGCUUGUGGUUUAGUGGUAUAAUACUCCCUUAGCACCUGUAUGAUGCAAACCUGGGAGUGGUCCGGGGUUCGAUUCCCCGCGAGUCCA